rnacentral:rRNA from 1 species
GAUUUCUGGGUGACUGUGCUAGCCCGCUCCUUUCCGGGAGUGUGUGCCGGCAUACGUCAUUCAUCCUUCUAGAAAGCCUUGCCUGCCGUUCAUUCGGCCGGGCAUGUGCGGUCUAGAUCUUUUACUUUGAAAAAAUUAGAGUGUUUCAAGCAGGCUUUAUGCUAUGAAUACAUUAGCAUGGAAUAAUAAUUUAGGACUUCGGUUCUAUUUUGUUGGUUUCUAGGACUGAAGUAAUGAUUGAUAGGGAUAGUUGGGGGUGCUAGUAUUCAGCGGCCAGAGGUGAAAUUCUCGGAUUCGCUGAAGACUAACUUAUGCGAAAGCAUU